UACAGAGGUCUCAAGCGUUGUUCGGAUCCAUUGGGCGUAAAGGGUGCGUAGGUGGCGCGGUAAGUCGGGUGUGAAAUUUCGGAGCUUAACUCCGAAACUGCAUUCGAUACUGCCGUGCUUGAGGACUGGAGAGGAGACUGGAAUUUACGGUGUAGCAGUGAAAUGCGUAGAUAUUGGGAAGAACACCGGUGGCGAAGGCGGCGACCUGGUCCGUGACUGACGCUGAGGCGCGAAAGCGUGGGGAGCAAACAGG
rnacentral:rRNA from 1 species